CCCGGGCUAAAACUGGCCCAGAUCAAACUCCAAGCCCCAACCCGACCCGGUUUGAAACUGCGUUCCCCUCUCCCGUUGAUGGUGCUGCUUGUUCUCUUGGAAUCCAAGUUACACCCCUUCCAGGUACUUGUUCCAGAAGCAGCUGAAUGUCCUGAAUAAUUGCCCAUGCUUCUCCAACUGGAAUUUUUUAUUUGAUAGCUUGUAUUAAUUUUAAAUUGUCUGAUUCAAUAACAGUUUUUCCCAUGUAUAAAUUGUUUGCAAUGAUUAGAGUUUGUUUAAUGGCUAGAGCUUCUGCUACCGUGCUAGACUACAUAUAAUAGUUCAAACUCGAUGCGUUUCUGCUGUCAAAUAUAUACAUAAGAAAUCCAAUGGAUUUACAGGACUUCAAGUCACUGUUGCCAUCAACUUUAUUUCCAAUCAAGCUCUCUAUGCUCAUUUAAGUGGCACCUUGUUUUCUUCUUCUGGUAAUUGACCCCCAAGUGUUUGACGAAAUGCCAAAAAGAAUUUGCAAGCCAUAGAGACUAAAAAUGGGAAUCCAUAUUAUGAAGAUUUUGAUCAAACACAAACACUCAUUUGGUUUCUCAAUCUCCAUUCGAUCGAAAACUACGUCAGCUCAGUAUGUUGCCUCGAGAGUUCGAGACCCUACAUUUGAGAAGCUCAUGGACAAGUACAAGAGCCUCUUCAAAGUCAUUGCCAUUCAAGAUCUCAUCCUCGCAAACCCCAGGAAUCCGUCCGUGUCCAUUGACUUCCUCUCCAGGCUCUCCCAGAAACUCCAUCUCAACCGUGGUGCCACUUCCUUCCUCCGCAAGUUUCCUCACAUCUUCCAAAUUUAUUAUGACCCCUCCAAGUUGCUGCCUUUUUGCAGGCUCACAGAUGCUGCUCUUGAUGUUUCCAAGCAGGAAGAGAAGGCCAUUAAUGCUUCUUUGCCAAUGGUGGCUGAUCGAUUGGUCCGGAUAUUGUCCAUGUCUGCGUCCAAAACAGUUCCCCUUCGAGCAAUUUUCAAGGUCUGGAGGGAGCUUGGGCUGCCUGAUAAUUUCGAGGACUCAGUUAUAUCUGCAAAUCCUAGUGUUUUCCAGCUGUGUGAUGCCCAUGAACCUAACACUCAUUUGUUGAAGCUGGUUGAAGGUGUUCGUCGAAAUGGUUUUAGAGCAGCCAUUGAAGAUUGGAGGGUUGUUGAGUGCUGCAAGGAGGAUUGCAAUGUCAGGACAGAAUUGCAGUUCAGUUUUAAGCAUGGGUAUCCUCCAGGGAUGAAACUUGGCAAGAACUUCAAGGCCAAGGUGAAAGAAUGGCAGAGUUCACCGUACGUUGGGCCCUAUGAGGUGGUUGUUGGGGAGAAAAAGAAGUCUAAGGCAGCAUUGAUGGCCAUGGAGAAACGAGCAGUGUCGAUUGUUCACGAGUUCCUGAGUUUAACCGUGGAGAAGAUGGUAGAAGUUGAAAAGAUCAGCCAAUUCAGAAAAUGGUUUGGGAUUGACUUCAACAUAAGAGACCUGUUCUUGGAUCACCCAGGGGUCUUCUAUCUAUCAACAAAGGGGAAACGCCACACUGUUUUCUUGAGGGAAGCAUAUGAACGAGGUUGUUUGAUUGAACCAAAUCCUGUAUAUGAUGCAAGGAGAAGGCUUCUUGAUCUUGUUGCUAUGGGACGUCGUGGUCGUUCUGCUAUUAAUUCAAAUUUACAGGAUGGAAGCAGCAGCAGCGACAAUGAUGGCAUUGAAGCAGAAGAAACCCAACAAAGGCAUGGCUCAUUAUCUUCUUGAGUGAUCAAGGUUUCGCUGUAAUUUUCACUUUUUGGUGACCUUGCUUUGUUUUCAAGAUUAUGGCUCCUGGAAUUUACUUAUGUGGGUAAGGCAUGGAAGUAUAUGUAUAUGUGUCCCUGUAUUGAGCGACAAACAUGAGUAGGUGUUGCUAAUUAAAGAGAUUGGAACACUGCUGCAGUUGUUUAAGAAUUAGUUAUCAAUGGCCAUAGGUUGCUCAAAAGCAUUUCAAAUGUGCUUGCAAUGAAUAUAACUAUUGCCUUUGUCGGCUUCUGUAGCAUUAUUCAAGAAAUUUGGUGGCUUAGAAAGUGUAUAUUUAACGACAAAAGGGACACUACUGGAUUGGAGACAACACAGGUAAGGUCAUAAAUAAGAACAUAAACAAGUCACAAGUGCAC